rnacentral:tmRNA from 1 species
GGGGCUGAUUCUGGAUUCGACGGGAUUUGCGAAACCCAAGGUGCAUGCCGAGGGGCGGUUGGCCUCGUAAAAAGCCGCAAAAAAAUAGUCGCAAACGACGAAACCUACGCUUUAGCAGCUUAAUAACCUGCUUAGAGCCCUCUCUCCCUAGCCUCCGCUCUUAGGACGGGGAUCAAGAGAGGUCAAACCCAAAAGAGAUCGCGCGGAUGCCCUGCCUGGGGUUGAAGCGUUAAAACGAAUCAGGCUAGUCUGGUAGUGGCGUGUCCGUCCGCAGGUGCCAGGCGAAUGUAAAGACUGACUAAGCAUGUAGUACCGAGGAUGUAGGAAUUUCGGACGCGGGUUCAACUCCC